rnacentral:misc_RNA from 1 species
UUGUGACCCUGACCAAAACAGACCGUGCACGCGUCAUCCAGCCUGCCGGCGGCGGAUCCGUUCGUCGUUCGGCCAAGUCCUUGACAACCUCUUCUCUUCGGAGUGGGGGCUCGAGGUAAAAGAACCCACGACGCCUAAGGCGUCAAGGAACACUGUGCCUAGCCCGGGGACGCGGACGGCUUGCUGCCUGCCCCCCCGUGCUGCAACGCUAUUUAAUCCACACGACUCUCGGCAACGGAUAUCUCGGCUCUCGCAUCGAUGAAGAACGUAGCGAAAUGCGAUACCUGGUGUGAAUUGCAGAAUCCCGCGAACCAUCGAGUCUUUGAACGCAAGUUGCGCCCGAGGCCAUUCGGCCGAGGGCACGCCUGCCUGGGCGUCACGCAAAACACGCUCCCACCCCCUCAUCGGGGGACCGGGAUGCGGCAUCUGGCCCCCCGUCGCGCAAGGGGCGGUGGGCCGAAGAUAUGGCUGCCGGCGCAUCGUGCCGGACACAGCGCGUGGUGGGCGACCUCGCUUUACUUACCGCAGUGCAUCCGGUGSGUAGCCGGCGUGAUGGCCUCGAAGGACCCUAUGAACGGUGCGCAAGACGCU